UAGGCCAGUAGUUCAGUUGGUAGAGCGUCGGUCUCCAAAACCGAAUGUCGGGGGUUCGAGUCCCUCCUGGCCUGCCAA
rnacentral:tRNA from 1 species